UACGUAGGUGGCAAGCGUUAUCCGGAAUUACUGGGCGUAAAGCGCACGCAGGCGGCGCAACAAGUUCGACGUGAAAGCUCCCGGCUCAACUGGGAGAGGUCGUUGAAGACUGUUGUGCUUGAGGCAAGGAGAGGGGUGUAGAAUUCCCGGUGUAGUGGUGGAAUGCGUAGAUAUCGGGGGGAAUACCAGUGGCGAAGGCGGCGACCUGGGUAGAUACUGACGCUGAGGUGCGAAAGCGUGGGGAGCAAACAGG
rnacentral:rRNA from 1 species